UCAAAACGAACGGUCGGGUCAUUACACUAAUAAUUAGUUAAACAAACCAAGCCAGUGUCAAAAUCUUUUGGAGCUAACUUCAAACAAAAGAAGCAACAAAAAAGUUCCAAACUUGAACAGAAAAAAUAGAAUUUAUAUGCUACCAACUUACUUCAACGUCUAAUUUGUUAAGGGACUUAAUCAAAUUUCACCGACAUGAAUUCCAUUAGUAUCUGUAUCAGUAACACUGCAAGAGAAUACGAAAUAAAUUACUCUUAAUAACAUACAGUAACCAAGGGAAAAGAAGUGAAAGGAUUGAAAAUGUAGGAGAUAACUUAGUGACAUCUCAACAAUCGAAUUUGGAAUUCUUAUUUGAUUAGUUUCUUUUAGUAGUUUUCUUUUCAUCAGUUAACCAUCUCAGUAUCCUUCAAAAUUAUAAGAAAGCAAUAUCAUUAUGCUAAUUAAAUAAUUAGAACAUGCCCUUCAUAUAAUUGGAGUUGACAAAAUAGAUAGCAGAACCAACGAUCACAUAAGAGUGUCAGGGACCUUUCUUAUUUCUUAAAAUUGUUGUAUAUUUCAGUAACCAGUAGUCUUAGGGAUAAGAAAAAUCCAAAUGCAAUCAAUUUAAUAGAAAACCACCACAUAUUUAUGUGUGUUGUGAGUUUAGACUAGUACAUCAAGUUUGCAUCCACCUUUAGCCACGUAUGUAGAAAGAUGUCAAUGAGCCAAAUGUGUUACUUGUUCCCGAGGCUACCAUUUUCUGUUUCACUUAAAGUAGUGUUCAAUGCUGCAAAUGUUCUUCCAAUUAUUCGCGCUUUCUAUAAGUCGUGAAGUUUGUUAUACAAAAAAUAAGCUUUCUCUAAAACGAACACCUGGCCAAGAAAUGAGUUGAGAAGCAUAACUUACAACAAUCCUGAAACCUUUGCCCACAUAUUCACCAGCGAAAGAAAUUUUAUUCACCAUGCUUGUUUGCACCCAAAUAACACAUGCAUCAUGAAAAGGGAAACAGGAAGGAGUAUAACAAAGAUAGUUCUGACUAAUCAUUGAAAUUUUCUUUAUAAUCAUUUCUAGAUGCUUCAGAUAAGUCUUAACUCAAAGUCGGAACUACUAACUAAAGUUUAAUCUCUAGAUUUUCACUGAUAAUCACGGUUAAACAAACAUGUUGGAAUUAUUUAGAUGCUUUAUUUAUUUGAUCAAAAGUACUCAUGAAUAAAAAGAAAUCCAGACACAUUUGUAGAAGCAAACACAAGGAGUGCUUUACCUUCACGAAUUAGCUCAAAUCUUGGAUGAUCAAUCCGUUGCUUUAGAUUAUCCUUUGAUCCAUUGGAGUAAUUUUCUACAACAAUCACCUGAGCAUAUGCAAAAGUUAAUGUAAUUGUACUGAGUAUGCAAUCAUCUUCUAAUCAUUUUUUAUAUACAAGGAUGCAAUAGUUGCAAAUAUACAACAGAAAACCAAACUUAGAAGAUUGUACCUCAUUCUUCUCAUUUUACAUUAGUUUGUCAACAAAGGCGAGAGCCGAUAGUCUAGACCAUCUACCAAAUUCCUCAUGUUGGUCUGUGAUUAUGGCAGUUCGUGAAUAGUAAACAAUGCUAACUAAUAUCAGAAAAUUACACUAGUAUCCCGUAAAGCAGCCUUGAUUAAACAUUAAUUAGAGUACUACAUUAUGAAGAGGCUGGGAAUCAAAAUUCUACUUAAUUAUAACAAGAAGGAAAACAAAAAAUCAAUUCCUAGACCAUUAGACCAUCAAUCCCCAAGCUCGACCAACUUACAAACAAUUCAAAAAUCAAACCCAAAACUUAGUAGUGCUCAAAGUCGUUGGACAAAGAAAGAAUGCAUUGCGUUGUUCCCCGUACUUCAAAAUUCUAAAUAUAUAAUCCAUCCAAUAGCCAAAAUAGGGAAAACUUCAAUCAACCGUAAAAGACCAAAGAUCUCCCAAAUACCACCUAAUACAAAUAUACAGUCUCUCACUAGAGAGCCUCCAUUUAAACGCGCACAGGAUUCCCCCACAACAAUUCUUAAAAGGGUAAAAUUACAAUUAGACCUCAAGCGAAGGAACCCACACAAAAUUGAACCAAAAUAUAACACAAUACUAGUAAUAAUACAUAAAUCCGCAAGCAUAUCUUAAAUAAUUUUGAGUAUGAACUCUUUAACGAAUAGUAAAUAAAGGAUAUAUAGAGCAACUGAAAAUAAAAAGAAUAUGACGAAGUACGAACCUUUGUUGUUCUGAUUGCGCCAACUUUCUCUCAGUAGAGAAGGUGAUGAAGAGAGGAAAUUUGGGCCUGAAAGAUUUUGUGAGUUGGGGAGAGGGAAUUGUAUCCUGAAAAAAGGGGAGGGUGGGAGUGUA
rnacentral:lncRNA from 1 species